rnacentral:rRNA from 1 species
AAUAGAUACCCGGGUAGUCCACGCCGUAAACGAUGAGUGCUAGGUGUUAGGGGGUCCAACCCUUAGUGCCGAAGUUAACACAUUAAGCACUCCGCCUGGGGAGUACGGCCGCAAGGCUGAAACUCAAAGGAAUUGACGGGGGCCCGCACAAGCGGUGGAGCAUGUGGUUUAAUUCGAAGCAACGCGAAGAACCUUACCAGGUCUUGACAUCCCUCUGACCUCUCUAGAGAUAGAGAUUCCCCUUCGGGGGCAGAGGUGACAGGUGGUGCAUGGUUGUCGUCAGCUCGUGUCGUGAGAUGUUGGGUUAAGUCCCGCAACGAGCGCAACCCUUGAGAUUAGUUGCCAGCAUUCAGUUGGGCACUCUAAUCUGACUGCCGCAGACAAUGCGGAGGAAGGUGGGGAUGACGUCAAAUCAUCAUGCCCCUUAUGACCUGGGCUACACACGUGCUACAAUGGAUGGUACAAAGGGUUGCGAAGCCGUGAGGUGAGCCAAUCCAUAAAGCCAUUCUCAGUUCGGAUUGU